rnacentral:lncRNA from 1 species
AAUCUUCAGGCUUGGUCGCUUCGGGGUCGUCGACCUCCUCAGGCUCAUCAUCUAACCAUCCUUCGGGUUUCUCAGCUUCCUCAUCUUCAAUCUCCAUAGGUGCAUCCUCAUCCCAGUCCUCAGGCUUCACGGCAUUUGGAUCAGGAAUCUUGGCUCUUUCGUCCCAAUCCUCUGGUUUCUUGUCUUCAGGGUCAGGGAUGGUCUUGGCAGGGAUCAAUGCAGG